AUUGCACGCUGGCGGCAGGCCUAACACAUGCAAGUCGAACGAGUGGCGGACGGGUAAGUAAUGUCUGGGAAACUACCUGAUGGAGGGGGAUAACUACUGGAAACGGUAGCUCAUACCGCAUACCAUCGGAUGAGCCCAAAGGGGAUGAGCUAGUGGGGGGGGUAAAGGCUCACUUAGGCGACGAUCCCUAGCUGGUCUGAGAGGAUGAAAAGGUAAACAGGGACUGAGACACGGCACAGAGUCCUACGGUAGGCAGCAGUGGGGAAGAUGGAGCAAUGGGGGCAAGCCUGAUGCAGCCAUGCCGCGUGUAUGAAGAAGGCCUUCGGGUUGUAAAGUACUUUCAGCGGGGAGGCGUUACCCGCAGAAGAAGCACCGGCGAAGUCCGUGCCAGCAGCCGCGGUAAUUC
rnacentral:rRNA from 1 species